rnacentral:rRNA from 1 species
AUGGCCGCGGCCGGCGCCUUCUCCCCCCUCUCCGGCACCCUCCUCCGCCGCCGCAUACCCCUCCACCAUCACCGCCGCUUCCUCUCCAUUGCAGCCGCUGCCUCGGAAGCCCCCGCGCCUGCCCCCGCCCCGUCCCAGCCGCCGCCGCCGCCGCCGCGUCCUCGCGGGAAGGGGUACUUCCCCAAGAAGAACGAGAUCCUCGAGCUGACAUGCGAGGGGCUCGCCUUCAAGGGGAAGGGCGUCUGCAAGGUCGACGGCUCCUCCUUCGUCCUGCUCUGCGACGGCGCUCUCCCCGGCGAGCGCCUCGUGGCUCGCGUCCGUCGCCUCCGCCGCGGCGCCUUCGCCGAGGCCUCCAAGCUAAAGACCCUCUCGCCCCACCACGACGCCGUCGAGGCCCCCUGCCCCCUCGCCGCCGACUGCGGCGGCUGCAAGAGCCAGUCCCUCGCCUACUCUGCGCAAAUCCACCACAAGUACGUCCAGGUCCGCGACUUGCUGGUAAAUUUCGGCAAGUUUGACCCCAGAAAGCUGGAGAGCUCGGAUUCAGAUGCCAUCCUUAAGCCCAUCGUGCCGUGCGAUGAGAUAUUUCGAUACAGGAACAAGAUGGAGUUCUCGUUUGGGACGAAGAGGUGGAUGAAAAGGGAGUGGAAGGAGGAGAAAGAGGAGGUGUCUAAGGGGGAAGAGGUGGAGACUGAUGGUUAUUCACUUGGACUCCAUGCACCAGGGUUCUUUGACAAGGUGCUUCAUGUUGAGACGUGCUUGCUGCAUAGUGAGCCGGCAGAUCAGGUUCUUGCAGUUGUUCAAGGAAGUUGGACGGAUCCGGCUCUUGGCCUCACGCCUUACGAUGUCUACAAGCACACUGGGUUUCUCAAGCAUCUAAUGAUACGAACUGGAAGAAAUGUCAGCACUGGAGCUCCAGAAUUGAUGGUCAAUUUUGUGACAUCAUGUUAUAAACCUGAGCUACUGGUGCCUCUUGUGGAUAGAAUCACAAAAAUAUCUGAAGUGGUAAGUGUCGUAAAUAAUGUGAAUACAUCUGUUGGCAAUACAUCCGUGGGUGAGCAAGAAUAUACCUUGUACGGGAAACCGACCAUUACAGAGAUGUUGAGAGGACUUACAUUCCAGAUAUCUGCCAACUCCUUUUUCCAGACUAAUACAAAACAGGCUGAUGUUCUUUAUAAGCUUAUUGAAGAUUCUGCUGGGCUUAAAGGAGAUGGCUCUGAGAUUGUUCUUGACUUGUUUUGUGGAACUGGAACCAUUGGGCUGACUCUUGCUAGAAGUGCAAAGCAUGUUUAUGGAUAUGAAGUUGUCCCUGAAGCCAUCGCGGAUGCCCAAAAGAAUGCUCAGUUGAAUGGUAUUAGUAAUGCUACAUUUGUUCAGGGAGACCUUAACAAAAUCAGCGAAACAUUUGGCAAGGAAUUUCCAAAGCCUGACAUAAUCAUAUCAGAUCCUAAUCGGCCAGGGAUGCACAUGAAGUUAAUCAAGUGGCUGCUAGAAGUCAAAGCCCCUCGAAUAGUGUACGUCUCUUGUAAUCCAGCUACUUGUGCACGGGAUUUGGACUACCUAUGUCAUGGCGUGGAAGAGAAAGGCCUGAGUGGGUGCUACGAGCUGAAGCGUGUAAUACCUGUCGAUAUGUUUCCCCACACUCCUCAUAUUGAGUGUGUGUGCUUAUUGGAGCUGUGCUGA